rnacentral:lncRNA from 1 species
UUCAGAUGAGACUUCAUUACGAUCCUUUCCUGUAUAUUCGGCAUUCAAUUGUAAAUUAAUUUGUUUUAAGCCGACUAAUUGGUGCUGUGUGCCAAAUGCAAUUAAAAAUUAAUUAUUGGCCCCAAAACGUGGAAGCUAAUGAUCUAAAGCGACUUUUAAAAAAUGUUCAUGAUUCAAGUAAAUUUUUCUUAAAAAAUGUAGCCUUUUCAGCCACCUUAUCCAUCUGUCGUUCAUGGUUUUUAAAUGAUAUCCAUUGAAGUAAAUACAUAAUUUUUAAGGCUCUCUGCCUAUAUUUAUCUCGGUGGUGGAGCCACUAAAUAUUUAAGUAAGUGCGUGACUCCUCACCUCAUAGUUCUUGAUUAUAAGUUUAUGUAAUGGAUCAGUUGCGCCGGUCACAGAAUCGUGUUUUGAUGCUUGAUUCUUGUAGAUAAGCUCAAAAUAUAAAGAUCUGUCCGAAUAGUAAUUUUUACAUUCAAGAUAAACCGAGAUAUCAGGCUUUGAAAAAUUGCGUUUUGACGUCUUCCACCAUGGUAGUGACACCCUUGGUUUUUUCUACCUCGGUUUUAUCGAUCAGUAGUAAAUGCAUAUGCACUGGUUGCUUGACUGGAAACACGGGUAAAAUCAAGGUGGCAUAAACCAAGGGUGUCACUACCAUGGUGGAUGACGUCAAAACCUGAGUUUUUUAAAGGGUGAUAUCUUGUUUAAUAUUGGACGUAGGAAGUUGCUAUUUAGACAGAUCUUUUUAUUUUUAGCUAAUCUACGAGAAUAAUACAUCAAAACACGAUUCUGUGACCAGCCACCAGCGCAACUGGCCCAUUAAUUUUGAUUGCACUGAAGUAUUGCUGCCCUUCUUUAAUCAAUUUUUCCCCUCUUUUUUUAGAAUUUGAACUGAAAAAGUUUGAUGAGUCUGAAACAGACUUUGACACAUUAUAAAAACUGCUGUCCAUUCAGCUCUCUUAAAACGUCUAACAGAAUCAAAGACGGUGCAGAGAAUGAUAGAGUAUGCAGUAAUCACUUGGUAGCUGAAGUGCAUCUGGAGCUGUAUCAAACUGCACUGUAUGUUUCAUCUAUCGGCCUCUCAACUAUUUCUUGUCUAUGCAUGGGAUGGUUUUGAAAAUUUCCGACCGGUCGACCAGAUGAAAUUUUUUUGAGAGGUUUCUCGCGCUGAUUUAACUUUACUCUGUCCAAUUAUCAAUUGUUUAAUCUAAGGUGUAUUCAAGCAAUUUUGUCAAAGUUUUCUGCAAGAUACGCUGUAUUACUCGUUUCCCUUAUUUCCUUGAUCGGGAAAUUGUCUGUAAGGAUUACAAUUAUUUUAUCAAGGAUCAUUUGAGGAUAAUUAGCAGUAAUUCAAUGAAAAAUGUUCAACUAAGUAAGUACACAUUGCAACAGACUCAUUGCUAAUCAUACUUAUUUGUUUCAUUAUUAUUUCUAUUAUUAAGUCAGAUGUCUUGAUAUGAACAUAAAUUAUAAGGGUGUUGGCAUUAGUGUGUAUUACUGCUCCAAUAUGGGUUGCUUUUUGGGGGGAGAUUCGUAUCCUAGCACCAAGAACUUUUUUUUCUUUUGGUACCUAUUUUUCAGCAAAGUAUGAGCCCAGAGCUUUUUAAUUGAUUUAGAUGGUCUUGUAAAUCAUCAUUGCUUGAAUUCAUUGUCCUUCGCGAUUUUAAAUUACGUUUGUGGUCUACCAAACCCUCCUGAAGUACUUUUUUGAAACAAGGAAAAGAAAUGCUUCUAGAGGUAUGUCGUCAUUAGUAUGCAUUCAAUGAACUGUCAGAGUGUUUAAAUCCACUAAAAAAAAGAUUUUAAGGAAGAAUAUUUUGUCUACGAAUUUGUUAUUGCAUUUUUUAUCACUGCAGAACUUUAUCAUGCCUUCAAUGACUUGUUUUUGUUUCUCUUUUUGGUUAGAAAAUAUAUUUUUCUCUUUGAACUUUUCUUUUGUUUUUAUUUUUAACAAAUGCAUUUAGGUAUUCUUUCCCAUUUCACUCUGCAGAUAGUAGAAGUUGUAUGCCAGCACCAAUAGCAACCAGGUUGCUUCAGUGACACCAAGUCCGCUAAGUAUGUUAGGGUAUUUGUGCUUAUUUCCUAAAAUACCAGAUAAGUCAAGUCAAUUGCUAGCCUUACUUCAGCAAACUUCAAUCUAUUCCUGCCGGUUAAACUUUAACACGCGGUACUGUCUUGAAGCACCAGUAACUUUUGCAGGUUUUAAAUUAAUUAGCAUUCCAUUUCACAAAGUAAGAUCUAAAGUUUUAGGAUGCAUAUUAUAGUGGGUCUUAGGAUGGCAUAUCAAGUUGAUCCUGGGUGUUGAUGAAAGGUUCAGCCCCUUGAAAAUUCGAAGAUGUUUCUUAUUUUUUGAACAGCCUUUCUUAUUUCUACCCGGUUUUCAUAAAAGAGUUAAUUCCUGUAUUUCUUUACAUCAGCAUCUCUAAGGAGGAAGACAGAAAUCUUUAAACAAUUCAGGGUUGUAUAUUCUUCUUUUUACAAUUAUGAUUUUUUACUGGAUAGCCCUCUCUUAUGCUCUACUGAUUUACUUAAUGAAGUGAUUAACCUUUGCUGAUCAUAUUUUACGAAAUAAUUUUUCUUACACAUCAAUGUGCAUAUUUUGACUGAUCAGGGGAGGUCAUAAUGGCUCUGUUUUGGAUUUUGGGUGAGAGAAAGAACUAUGAAAAUGUAAUACUGAUAUAAGAUACAAGAAUUGCAAAUAGGUCAAGCCAAGCAUUGAACCCACAACCCUCAAAACCCCAUCUCAGAGCUCUAGCCGCCAGACUAUCUGUCAUUAACAUGUGACAAAGUAGCCUAUUGAGACAUAAUCAGUGUGUGGUGCAUCGCACAUUGAUUACCAUCCAAAAUACAGGACCUUUGGGGGCUUCUGCUUCCCAGAGGUUCAUCGGCUAAAUCACUGAAACAUGUCAACUUUUGUUUUAACAAAAGCUCUUAUUUAUAAUCAAAUCAUUAAAAUCCAAGGCAGAGUCACUGUGACCCCUUUAAAACCCUGAUUAAGAGUUAGCUUCAUAUCAUUCAAUUGAAAUAGUGUGUGAAUGAGCCAUCGAAUUCAUGUUGAUUUUCAUCAUUUUAUUCCCCAUCCCUAACAUGUAUGAGCAAAGAAGAAUUACCUAUAAGUGAGUUUUUCAUGUCGGACAAAAAAGUGCUUGACAAACCAAGGUGUCCUAGAAAACUAGGACUUAAUGGAACAUGGAUGUACAUGUCCUUCCAUUAAGACUUUCAAUUGUGUCAGCUUCUUUGUUUUCUCCAUAGCUUGUCUACUCACUUAUUUUCUUGCCCAACUUCUCUCUUACCACAAACUGAAGCUCUGAAGCUUUGUUGCCCAUUCUAAGUACCUUUAAGUUCUUGUGAUUUGUUUAACUAUGUUUCUUUGAGUAACUUUUGAAUACCGUUUUUGUGCAUGUUCUGAUGUUUCUUUCAAUUAUGUUAUUGGGAUAUUGUGGGGGUAAUGUUAAUGUUUGCCUUUUUACAUUUCUCUAUUUAAUAUUUAUUAUCUUUAUGUUGUUAUACUUCUGUGUAUUUUUGUAAUUAUUGUUUGAUAAAGAAUUUUAUUGUACCAAAGAUUAAUAAAAUCAAAUUGUUAUUUAUUUCUUUUGUUCUAUUUUUAACUAAAGUAAUCAUGAAAGCUAAAUAAGUACUGUUUACACAUUCAUAUUCAUUUAGAAAGUCAAUUUCAAACCAACCUAAAGGAAUUGAAAUCCAAUACAUUCUUUUAUUUUAUUAUUUUCUUUGCGCGAGUAAUAUCUUCGACAAAAGUGCCGUAGACAAUUUAUUUCAGGAAAGUUAUCAUUUACCUCCAAAUUUCCGGAACCUAAUGCUAGUAAGAUUUUGUGCCUGGUGGAAAAAUAAUUUAAGAUGUAGUCAAAGAUAGCCCAAUAGAAUUUAGUAAAUUCAAAUCAGGUUGUUAAUUUAAACUUAGGAGAGAGAACAACUUUGUAGUAACAAAUUGAAUUUAUUUACAAACAAAAUAACAAAAAAAAGUAGUAAAAAAGUAGUUUCACAGUCAACU